AGCGAACGCUGGCGGCAGGCCUAAUACAUGCAAGUCGAGCGCACCUUCGGGUGAGCGGCGGACGGGUGAGUAACGCGUGGGAAUGUGCCCUUUGGUACGGAACAACUGAGGGAAACUUCAGCUAAUACCGUAUGUGCCCUUCGGGGAAAGAUUUAUCGCCAUUGGAGCAGCCCGCGUUGGAUUAGGUAGUUGGUGAGGUAAAGGCUCACCAAGCCGACGAUCCAUAGCUGGUCUGAGAGGAUGAUCAGCCACACUGGGACUGAGACACGGCCCAGACUCCUACGGGAGGCAGCAGUAGGGAAUCUUGCGCAAUGGGCGAAAGCCUGACGCAGCCAUGCCGCGUGAAUGAUGAAGUCUUAGGAUUGUAAAAUUCUUUCACCGGGGAAGAUAAUGACGGUACCCGGAGAAGAAGCCCCGCUAACUUCGUGCCAGCCGCCGCAGUAAG
rnacentral:rRNA from 1 species